GCUUCUAGGACAUACAUCUAACAAUCUCUCACUUGGACUAAAGCCAAUUGGCCAUAAAUCUAAGUCUCAUCUUCUUAAGGUAGACUUUCAUUUUUGGUUGGCUCAACUGCUUAGUCAGUGGGUCUGCCACAUUGUCCGUGGAGUCUACUCUUCGCACCUCGAUAUGUUCCCUUUCGAGGUAGUUGCAUAUACUGCUGCUCUAUGUGUUUGUACUUCUGGUG
rnacentral:lncRNA from 1 species